rnacentral:rRNA from 1 species
AUUGAACGCUGGCGGCAUGCUUUACACAUGCAAGUCGAACGGCAGCGGGGAGGAGCUUGCUUCUCUGCCGGCGAGUGGCGAACGGGUGAGUAAUACAUCGGAACGUGUCGAGAAGAGGGGGAUAACCACCCGAAAGGGUGGCUAAUACCGCAUAAAUUCUGAGGAAGAAAGCUGGGGACCUAGGAAUAGGCCUAGCGCUUUUUGAGCGGCCGAUGCCGGAUUAGCUAGUUGGUGAGGUAAAGGCUCACCAAGGCGAAGAUCUGUAGCGGGUCUGAGAGGAUGAUCCGCCACACUGGGACUGAGACACGGCCCAGACUCCUACGGGAGGCAGCAGUGGGGAAUUUUGGACAAUGGGGGCAACCCUGAUCCAGCCAUGCCGCGUGUAUGAAGAAGGCCUUAGGGUUGUAAAGUACUUUUGUUAGGGAAGAAAAGUCAGCUGUGAAUAAUGGCUGAUACUGACGGUACCUAAAGAAUAAGCACCGGCUAACUACGUG